UACGUAGGGCGCAAGCGUUGUCCGGAAUUAUUGGGCGUAAAGAGCUUGUAGGCGGUUUGUCGCGUCUGCCGUGAAAAUCCGGGGCUCAACCCCGGGCCUGCAGCCGAUACGGGCAGACUAGAGUUCGGCAGGGGAGACUGGAAUUCCUGGUGUAGCGGUGAAAUGCGCAGAUAUCAGGAGGAACACCGGUGGCGAAGGCGGGUCUCUGGGCCGAUACUGACGCUGAGGAGCGAAAGCGUGGGGAGCGAACAGG
rnacentral:rRNA from 1 species